rnacentral:tRNA from 1 species
GCAGUGGUGGCUCAGGGGUAGAAUUCUCGCCUUCCAUGCAGGAGACCCAGGUUCGGUUUCUGGCCAAUGCC